AGCUUUGCGCAGUGGCAGUAUCGUAGCCAAUGAGGUUUAUCCGAGGCGCGAUUAUUGCUAAUAGAAUAAGAUCCCAUUUUUUAUUAAAUUUUAAUACUUUGCAAGUAUUAAAUUUCAAACAUCAGAAGAGAGGACCGUUUU